rnacentral:tRNA from 1 species
AGGGGUAUGGCUCAGUGGUAGAGUGCUUGCCUAGCAUGCUUGAUGCCCUGGAUUCAAUCCCCAGCACUGCCA